rnacentral:lncRNA from 1 species
CUGCUCCAAAGAGAAUGCUUGUGUGAUCCCAUCUGUUCACCACAAGAGCUUGGGAAGCAAGUAUCCCCAGAAGACAGGCUGUAAGAGACUAUUAUGGAGAGAAAUCCAUCUUGCUGCCUCACCAGCCCUGCUCUGUUUUGUUUUUGGGCUCUGACAAGAUCACAGCUUGAGAAAUCCUGUGUAAAAGUCCUCUCCUGACUGCUUGGCUAACUAAGAGCCAUAGUGCACAAAGUGAAGGAGAGCUGUGUGCAAAUAGUGUGACAAACAUAGAAACCACCGGAGAUGUAAAUUGUUUUAUCUCUGGAAUCAGAGGCAGCCAGUAAAGCUGUUCCUGCUGUGAAAAAACAAGGCUUGAGAAGCCCUUGGUUUCCUGAAAUAAAACAGUACAUAGUACCUCCUAGGAAAUACAGUGACAAAUUAUUAUUUCACACAACAUCCUGGCUAAGAUAUUUGAGAGAGGGGCAUAUUGCCAUUGUCCAUUUUGGGUGGCAAUGAUAUGGAACACAACUGCCUGUAAGCUCUGGUGAUGAUGGGAAUGGCAGCUGCAGGAAUAUUUUCCCAAAUCAUGGCACGACAUGAUAUACUGGCUGUAGUGUGCGUAAAUACACCUGAUCGGUGUAGAGGAUGUUCCUGCAUACUUCAGCUCCUGGCAUUCUGCUGCACACUCAAGCCAUCACAGAUUAUGUUUUCAAGGACACCUAAUCACACUGCACUUAAACAAACAACAAUGUUCAGCUACAGAGUGUUGGAAAAUCCAAGGUUAUGAGAAGAACGACAUAACACUUUAAAGGAGCAUAGUAAUCACUUUGUAAAUUCAAGUUCACUGGCAACUAUAACAGUAUCCAAAGUUAGGGAGCUUAAAACUUAGAGAUAUUGGCAUUUUUUGAUGCAAAAACCAUUCACACCUAAACAUACAUUAAACUAAAAGGACUGAAACAAACAAACAAACAAACAAAAAAACCCUACCUGUGUGUACACUACUGUUAUGUGGCAAGGCAUGCUCUUUUCUUUGCAAUAUGCAUAAUGAAAUACAAUCCCUCACCAGUUCAUCACUCAAACAGCUAAAUCUGAUUUUGCAGUGAAAAUGCAAUUUAAUCUCAUCAGGUUCCAUAGUGCUGAAAUACUAAACUUAACAAUAGAAACUGAUGUGAUAUGUUUCAAAUUAAAUUGAACCACUGCAAACAAUGGGUUCCUUCAGAUGCUGGCCUUGACUGAAUCUGUUUUUCCACUUCAUUUUGCAAAGAAAUCAUCAAGUCUAAUGGCUUCAAGCAAUCUAAGUGAUGUGCAGGUUGAAUGAAAAAAAUAAGCAGUGUCACUGAAAAAACGCCACACACAAACAAAGAGAAAUUACCACACGCUGCACUGAAGGCAUUAUCAUUUCCCCAGUCCAUCUGAAGAACUUCUAACUGAAGCAAGGAACCCAACCUUCAGCCAGUGAAGUCAAAAAAAACAUUUUGCCUUCUUUAAUGUCGGAAUAAGGCCUGAUGUCUGUAGAGCAUUGGGUGAAGGUUAGUAUUUGGCCUGAAAAUGUGCAUAAAAAGUUCUAAGUUUGAGGAUUUAUCAAACAUUAAUCCCUCACACCAAGCAGACAGAGGAAAAUAGGAUGGAAAGGAAUAGAAUAGUUCUGUUGGAAGAGACCUACAAAGAUCAUCAAAUCCAACUGCCUGACCACAGGGCUGACCAAAAUUUAAAACAUAUUAUUGAGGGAAUUGUUCAAAUGGAUCUUGAACAGGCAUGGGGCAUCAACCAUCUCCCUAAGAAGACUGUUCCAGUGCUUGACCACCCUCAAGGUGAAGAAAUUUUUCCCAGUAUCCAGCCUGAGCCUCCCCUGGCACUGCUUUGAGCCAUUCCCACACACUCUCUUGGUUACCAAUAUGGAGAGCAGCAGCUCUCCAUCUCCGCUCCUCAGGAAUUUCCCCUUUUCCCCAGAAAAAGGAGAUUAAAAAGCUCUUAUUUGACAGAAGACAGUGCUGAAAGACCACUUGGGAGCCAGCCUGAUGGGCAUCUGCAGCCCAGGCCAACCACCACCCGCUCACACCACGGCGCGGACAUGUUCAAGGAAAUAGCACGCUGCUUCCUUCUCUCAGGAGGCAUUAAGGAGAACACAGGCUGGCACUACGCAUGCUGGCAGUGUCUGGGUAAUGAGUAACACUGAUCAAGAGACUCCAGUGACUUUGGGAUGAGCAGGAUUAGGGCUAUGUUGUCCAGGACUGCCUAGCUAAUUCCUUCCGUAUGGCUGCUCGCUUCACACAGAAGUCAGGCAUUUUCCUCUGAAGGAGAAGAGUCUCAAAAAGAUUUUUAUACAUUUUCCCUGGGUGAAGGGGGAUAGUGAAGGCCUGAGAAUGUCACUAAUAUGUAUUACGAACAGGUUUGUUUAAGUCAUAAAUAAUAGCUAUUACAAGAAAUCACAAGUGAAACAGGAGGCAUCUUAGUCUGAAUUUAGUCUUCUCUGUUUGUGUACUUCCUUGCAGAUAUUGUGUGAGACAGGUUUAUUCAAAAUAAAUCGAUUUUUUUGUGUAUGCCUACA